rnacentral:rRNA from 1 species
GUCUACAGCCAUGCCACCCUGAACAAGACCAAUCCCAUCUGAUCUUGGAAACUAAGCAGGGUCGGGCCUGGUUAGUACUUGGAUGGGAGACCACCUAGGAAGACCACCUAGGUGUAAAAA